AGAGUUUGAUCCUGGCUCAGGAUGAACGCUGGCGGCGUGCUUAACACAUGCAAGUCGAACGGUGAAGCAGAGCUUGCUCUGUGGAUCAGUGGCGAACGGGUGAGUAACACGUGAGCAACCUGCCCUGGACUCUGGGAUAAGCGCUGGAAACGGCGUCUAAUACUGGAUACGAGACGUGGCCGCAUGGUCAACGUUUGGAAAGAUUUUUUGGUUCAGGAUGGGCUCGCGGCCUAUCAGCUUGUUGGUGAGGUAAUGGCUCACCAAGGCGUCGACGGGUAGCCGGCCUGAGAGGGUGACCGGCCACACUGGGACUGAGACACGGCCCAGACUCCUACGGGAGGCAGCAGUGGGGAAUAUUGCACAAUGGGCGAAAGCCUGAUGCAGCAACGCCGCGUGAGGGAUGACGGCCUUCGGGUUGUAAACCUCUUUUAGCAAGGAAGAAGCGAAAGUGACGGUACUUGCAGAAAAAGCGCCGGCUAACUACGUGCCAGCAGCCGCGGNAAUACGUAGGGNGCAAGCGNUAUCCGGAACAUUNCACGGGUUUCCGUGACGCAGCUAACGCAUUAAGUUCNCCGCCUGGGGAGUACGGCCGCAAGGCUAAAACUCAAAGGAAUUGACGGGGACCCGCACAAGCGGCGGAGCAUGCGGAUUAAUUCGAUGCAACGCGAAGAACCUUACCAAGGCUUGACAUAUACGAGAACGCUGCAGAAAUGUAGAACUCUUUGGACACUCGUAUACAGGUGGUGCAUGGUUGUCGUCAGCUCGUGUCGUGAGAUGUUGGGUUAAGUCCCGCAACGAGCGCAACCCUCGUUCUAUGUUGCCAGCACGUAAUGGUGGGAACUCAUGGGAUACUGCCGGGGUCAACUCGGAGGAAGGUGGGGAUGACGUCAAAUCAUCAUGCCCCUUAUGUCUUGGGCUUCACGCAUGCUACAAUGGCCGGUACAAAGGGCUGCAAUACCGUGAGGUGGAGCGAAUCCCAAAAAGCCGGUCCCAGUUCGGAUUGAGGUCUGCAACUCGACCUCAUGAAGUCGGAGUCGCUAGUAAUCGCAGAUCAGCAACGCUGCGGUGAAUACGUUCCCGGGUCUUGUACACACCGCCCGUCAAGUCAUGAAAGUCGGUAACACCUGAAGCCGGUGGCCUAACCCUUGUGGAGGGAGCCGUCGAAGGUGGGAUCGGUAAUUAGGACUAAGUCGUAACAAGGUA
rnacentral:rRNA from 1 species